AUACGGAGGGUGCAAGCGUUAAUCGGAAUUACUGGGCGUAAAGGGUGCGUAGGCGGCUUGAUAAGUCGGAUGUGAAAGCCCCGGGCUUAACCUGGGAAUUGCAUUCGAUACUGUCAGGCUAGAGUAUGUCAGAGGUUGGCGGAAUUCCUAGUGUAGCGGUGAAAUGCGUAGAUAUCAGGAGGAACACCAGUGGCGAAGGCGGCUAACUGGGGCAAUACUGACGCUGAGGCACGAAAGCGUGGGGAGCAAACAGGAGUAGAAACCCGAGUAGUCC
rnacentral:rRNA from 1 species